rnacentral:rRNA from 1 species
AUUGAACGCUGGCGGCAUGCUUUACACAUGCAAGUCGAACGGUAACAGGCCGCAAGGUGCUGACGAGUGGCGAACGGGUGAGUAAUGCAUCGGAACGUGCCCAGUCGUUGGGGAUAACUACUCGAAAUAGUAGCUAAUACCUCAUACGAUCUAUGGAUGAAAGCGGGGGACCGCAAGGAUUCGCGCGAUUGGAGCGGCCGAUGUCAGAUUAGGUAGUUGGUGGGGUAAAGGCUCACCAAGCCAACGAUCUGUAGCUGGUCUGAGAGGACGACCAGCCACACUGGGACUGAGACACGGCCCAGACUCCUACGGGAGGCAGCAGUGGGGAAUUUUGGACAAUGGGCGCAAGCCUGAUCCAGCAAUGCCGCGUGCAGGAAGAAGGCCUUCGGGUUGUAAACUGCUUUUGUACGGAACGAAACGGCUCUGGUUAAUACCCGGGGCUAAUGACGGUACCGUAAGAAUAAGCACCGGCUAACUACGUG